rnacentral:misc_RNA from 1 species
GCAAACUUGGUCAUUUAGAGGAAGUAAAAGUCGUAACAAGGUUUCCGUAGGUGAACCUGCGGAAGGAUCAUUAACAAAUCCAUCUUAUCUUUUUCCUUGUGAACUGGCCUGCCGGCUGCGGCUGGUGGGCAGCUUGCUGUGUGGGUGGGUGGAGCUGGCGGCGAGCAAGUCGUCAGCGUCUGCCUGCUGAGCGCGGCAGCAUUAUAAGCGUUGUUGUUGACUAACUUUAAUUUGUUGUAAUGACAAUAAAAAGUAAAACAACUUUUAACAGUGGAUCUCUAGGCUCUUGCAUCGAUGAAGAACGCAGC